UACAGAGGUCCCGAGCGUUGUUCGGAUUCACUGGGCGUAAAGGGGUGCGUAGGUGGCGGGGUAAGUUUGAUGUGAAAUCUCCGGGCUUAACCCGGAAAAUGCAUUGAAUACUAUUCUGCUUGGAGGGUUGGAGGGGGGACUGGAAUUCUCGGUGUAGCAGUGAAAUGCGUAGAUAAUCGAGAGGAACACCAGUGGCGAAGGCGAGUCCCUGGACAACACCUGACACUGAGGCACGAAAGCUAGGGGAGCAAACAGG
rnacentral:rRNA from 1 species